UACGUAGGGGGCAAGCGUUGUCCGGAAUCAUUGGGCGUAAAGCGCGCGUAGGCGGCCCGGUAAGUCCGCUGUAAAAGUCCAGGGCUCAACCCUGGAAAGCCGGUGGAUACUGUCGAGCUCGAGUCCGGAAGAGGCGAGUGGAAUUCCUGGUGUAGCGGUGAAAUGCGCAGAUAUCAGGAGGAACACCAAUGGCGAAGGCAGCUCGCUGGGACGUGACUGACGCUGAGACGCGAAAGCGUGGGGAGCAAACAGG
rnacentral:rRNA from 1 species